rnacentral:rRNA from 1 species
UACGUAGGGUGCAAGCGUUAAUCGGAAUUACUGGGCGUAAAGCGUGCGCAGGCGGUUGUGCAAGACAGAACGUGAAAUCCCCGGGCUCAACCUGGGAACUGCAUUUGUGACUGCACGGCUAGAGUGUGUCAGAGGGGGGUAGAAUUCCACGUGUAGCAGUGAAAUGCGUAGAUAUGUGGAGGAAUACCGAUGGCGAAGGCAGCCCCCUGGGAUAACACUGACGCUCAUGCACGAAAGCGUGGGGAGCAAACAGG